UAUUCAAGAAAAUUUGGCAGUCAAAAUAUAGCAUAAGCUAGAAAGUGAAUUGAGAAAAUAAUAGAAGCAUCUCAAUAAUCAAUGUGGGGUGCGUUUUCCCAAGUGCUAGGCCUCGUAACAGCAGUGUAACAAAAGACACGCUUAAUUGUUGUGGCUUAGUUUAAAGACCGAGAUACGUAAACUCAUUUUUCCUCUAAGACUUUUUUCCCACCGUGAAAACCUGCCAAAGCUAGACUUCAGUGUUCGCGCACAAUCAGGUCGUCUCGCCUAUGACAGGUUUAAAUCAAUAUUCAACCAGGUCUAACAGCAACCUCUAUGCCGUUUGCCGCAGAUGUUAAUGUAACCGUUCACCAUCACCACUGGUUGUUGGAUCCACUUGUCGGAUACGCAGUAACCUCUCGUUGUUAAAUUUGUUGGAUAAACUGUUCUUUUGACAUCUUCUGAAAAGUGCAGAGACUAUCAGUCUCGAAUUUAUAUGCAUGCUUUUCAAUCACCACUCUAUUACUGGUCCACUUGAGGGCGCGAAUUCGAAUGGCACUGGGGACGUCGUAUGGAGAACACAAAGCAGCUGAUUCUGAUUUUUAUUUAGAAUAAUAAUAGAAUUUAUUUAGAGCAAUCACAUGUGAUCUAACCUGGAUAAACAUCUGAGGGUUAUGAUUACUACGGUCACGGUCACUGUUUACUGAGAACCGCCGUAACCUUGUUGCAACACGGAUCUUUUAGCUGAAGCCGAGUCGUAAAAUGACUAUCGACCGCCUAUAGCAAAACUGAGUCGGAUCUGCCGAUGGGCGAUAGCCAGGUACAGCGAGGGAUCGUUGCAACAUUGCUAAAAUAUUUAGACUCGCUUUUGCCUCAACAUCAUCAUCAUCAUCAUCAUUAUUAUGUAUGAAGAGGCCGCGUCCUCUAAUCUUCGAUACGCAUAAUAAACAACCGUAAAUGGCCGAAACGGAACGCCACGGUACCGAUAACCCCAGCGGAGAGAACAAACCGAAUGAUGAGAUGAGUUGAAGUAACUGAUGAUAGACAAUGCAACCGAACGCCAAACUGGUGAUACAUCGAAAAUCGACAACCCAUAACGACGACGGCAACAACGGCCACUAAUCUUACCAAUGUUAAUAUUGUUCGAGCCACUGCUGUUGUCACCGCUGGUACUAGUAUCGCUAAAUAUAUCAGAUAGGUAUCGCUGGAAAGACGAUUAUACCUGGAACGAGAAAAUACGUUUGGUCGAUAGAAAUGACCGGCACAUGAACUCACGCACACACAGCGAGAUAAGCAGACGAAUGAAUGGAUGGAUGGAUGGAUGAAGAACGUUGUGACACUAGAGUAAAUCGGUCUUGCAUCAUGUUAUGACAACAGCGUCGCAUUGAGCUUGUCGUAUUCCUUGCUUGCUUUUCCUCAGCGGACGUCUAUCAGCACGCUAUAAGCUAAUAAUAUUUAAAUGUACCGUAUACAUGACAUCGAAGAUAAAGGGUUCAAGGGCUCCGGCCGAUUCGUUCAAGGGCAGCCGGGUAGGCGGAUAAGGCGCGAGCACUGUGGUGGCUCCAGGUGCCGUUUCGAAUUGACUGUAUGAAUUUUUGUGCUUGGCCUUCUGCUUGUUUGUUGUUGUUGUUGUUGUUGUUACCGUUGUUGCUGUUGUUACCGUUGUUGCUGAAGUGAAUGAUGUGUCUGUAUGAUCUAUCUAUACAAGUAACGUAUAGGAAAGAACUGCCAAACCGUAAAUGGCGUUCUAUUGUCACGCACCGUUCAACUCACAGCCAACAAUCCAAGGUACAUAUGUGUAUAGCAGUACAGAAUCAACAAGCUGAAACCUUUAACUUUUUAUAGCAAAGGUAAACGAAGGCAAGGUGAACAAUAAUUGCAUUCUGUUGGAUCGAUGCGUUUUAUGGGGCCCAUUUAUCAAUUGCGAUGUUAGAGGAACCUGAUUAGAAAACGAUGGCUUAUUUAUCGCCUACCUCGUGUAAAAAGCAUAGCAUUUUAUUUUAACUUACGAAUCUAUACAUAAAAUGAUGUUUUUUUUUUCCAUUGUUAUACUUGUUUUUGCUUUAUGAUAUUCAUUUAUCUAUUUGGCGAAAAGCCGAUGGUUGCAGAGGCUCUAUCUAUUCACUGAAAAUCAACGGCAUCAGGCGGUAUCAACAAACAUCAAAGAUGAUACCGCAGUCGUAUAACCGAGGGAAAAUUUUGACGAAUUUUAUGGGGAGCAAUACUUAAUCUACAACACAAAUUUCGCUGCGCGACGCAUAAUUUUUAUCGUGUGAGCUAAAACUAGACUCAUUAGAACGUUUUCCAGUUCGUCAUAAUCAGACUUUCGUUUAAUUAAGGCGAUGAAGGAAGAAAAUAGGAAGGACGUUCGACGUGAAGUAUUAAAACUGACCUAUUCUGGACUAUCGCGCGUUUUUAAGAGUAUGAAUAUAAUAAAGCAAGAAAAAAAGCUCGAACGAUUGCAGUUGUUACAAAACAGUCUCAUGACGUAUACAAUGUGCAUUGCAUCGUUAUAGUUUAACAGCAAUUGGUUUGAAACAACCUUUGGGUUGAAAAUACAUCAAGAAUAGGUUUAAACAUAAGAUCUCAGCUUUUUGGGACAUCCUGAAACAACUAAAUGGCAAAGGUCAAUUUUAACACGGCUGAGAAGUUCGAAAGUCCGAAUUGGCCCAGCAAAAAAAUCCAACAACGCAGACCUGUUAGUAAAUAAGCUUGACAUCUGGUGUCAUCUUCUUACUCUUGGUAAAUGUGUACUGUCUUUAAAAACUGCACACAGAAAUAGAAUAAAAUAAUCUCGCGUUUAGAUGAUGUCGUCCAGUCUCAUUUCGUCAGCAUACUGUGAAACAGCUUCGCAAAGUAGCGUCUCAGUAAGGUCAUCAUUAUUACCAAUGGAGCUAUAACAGGUUACAAUAGGUGAAACUCUUGAGUCGCUACUGGUAGUGCUGAGAAAUUAUCGGUGGAAAUCGGGGAAACAGUUAAAUUUGUAUCGCAAAAUACGCUUAAAGCUAGAUUUGAGAAAUUUUGCACAGACGAGGAGUUUCCCACUUGUGACUCGAUCAUAGCGGAAGACUUCACUACGACAGUAAUUUAGUCCACAUACAUAAAAUUAUUUUUGGAUGCGCGUUUCUUUAGGGUUUUGCAUACAAGUCUACCACCAUCUUGUUUAAAAAUCAUAAUUAUCUUCGACUAUGGCUACAGUUAAAGCUACUCCUUGUCGUCUGGUUCCAUUAUUCAAUACUGUGAAAGAGCUGGCCCGGGCUCUGAGAACCCGCAUUUCUACUAAAUCGACGUUUCUGUGUUGGUUACAUUGAAAAACAUCACAGCCGUUGCACAUCUGUAUGAGUCUCUGCGUGGCGGUACAGUCCUGGAACCCGUACACAUGUUUACGUUAAAGUACGUUAAGAAGCAACGCUUCCGUAACUAAUCUGGAUAAAAAAAAAACAAAUCAGAACUACUAAGAUAUCAAUAAAGGGUUCAAGAAUCAGUAGAUCCUUCUAUCUGGGAAAAGCGUGUCCCAAAUUGUUUCGUCAAGGCAGCUGCGAUUUUUUCAUACUGGCGAAGGAGUUGGACACGAAUUAGUCUUAUGAUCACAUCAUGAUCCAUAUGGGAUCUAGACUACUUGUUUGUGGUCCGUGUCUAUACUGCGGUAAAAAAACCACCGUGACAUGCAAAUAAACGUUGACAAACUAAGUUGCCGGAUGAAAAAUCUGUGCUUUUUUAACCUGAUGUCAUGACACCGCAUGAGGAAAGCAUGAGGAAGCAGCUGCCUGUCAACAGAACUCAAAGGAAGGGCAACCAUUCAGAAGAGCCCUCUCUUACGCUUCUGUGC